UACGUAGGGUGCGAGCGUUGUCCGGAAUUACUGGGCGUAAGGAGCUCGUAGGUGGUUUGUCGCGUUGUUCGUGAAAACUCACAGCUUAACUGUGGGCGUGCGGGCGAUACGGGCAGACUGGAGUACUGCAGGGGAGACUGGAAUUCCUGGUGUAGCGGUGGAAUGCGCAGAUAUCAGGAGGAACACCGGUGGCGAAGGCGGGUCUCUGGGCCGAUACUGACGCUGAGGAGCGAAAGCGUGGGGAGCGAACAGG
rnacentral:rRNA from 1 species